rnacentral:rRNA from 1 species
GACGAACGCUGGCGGCGUGCCUAAUACAUGCAAGUCGAGCGAAUCACUGGGAGCUUGCUCCCGGUGGUUAGCGGCGGACGGGUGAGUAACACGUGGGCAACCUGCCUGUAAGACUGGGAUAACACCGGGAAACCGGUGCUAAUACCGGAUAAUCCUUUUCCUCUCAUGAGGAAAAGCUGAAAGUCGGUUUCGGCUGACACUUACAGAUGGGCCCGCGGCGCAUUAGCUAGUUGGUGAGGUAACGGCUCACCAAGGCGACGAUGCGUAGCCGACCUGGGAGGGUGAUCGGCCACACUGGGACUGAGACACGGCCCAGACUCCUACGGGAGGCAGCAGUAGGGAAUCUUCCACAAUGGACGAAAGUCUGAUGGAGCAACGCCGCGUGAGCGAUGAAGGCCUUCGGGUCGUAAAGCUCUGUUGUUAGGAAAGAACAAGUACCGGAGUAACUGCCGGUACCUUGACGGUACCUAACCAGAAAGCCACGGCUAACUACGUGCCAGCCGCCGCCGUAA